rnacentral:misc_RNA from 1 species
GGAAAUGACCCAAUGGCAGACGUGCCAAAACCUCUAAAAAGACUAGGAAUGCCAUCAUUCCUCAGUAUAUGUCUGAAUAUAAAGAUCCCACCCGUGUGAGAGAGACCAGAGUCAGCUACUUGCAUUCCGGUCUUCACUACUGCAGCUGGAUUUAGUAGGGCUUGCUGAGCAGUAAACAGUACAGCCCCGAUUAUGUGAAACCUUGUCUUGUCCAACCUGAACCAAUCCCAUCCAAGUUAUUAGACAAUUAAAAUGCUCAAGCGAGAAAAUAGUAAAACCCCAUGCAAAGCAAAAUACUCGAAGCUUUUUGUGAUAUUUUUUGUGUCAUCAAAGAGUGAAAGAUAAAUAACUAGCCCAAUUGAUAUCGAUAUCGGCAAGAGCCAAUUCUGGAGGAGUUGCGACCUCAGU